GUUAAGUGUCCAGAACUAAGCUAUAUUCAGAUAAUGAGGUAACAGGAGUAUCAUAGGUGCAUGCUUUGUGUAGUUACUUUUGUUCAGCAAAAUUAGUGCUCUCAGUACUGACCUCCUUAAUGGAUCCAAGCACUCAGUGGGAUCAAUAAUCUAUAUUCAUGGACCCCAACUCCUCUUUGGAACUUCACUGAAUCCAGUAUUUUACCAAAUAACAUCCAAAGUGCCUUCUAGAGAAUGAAAUACCUCCUGAAUUGUAAUCACUGUUGUAAGAUACAGACCUACCCUGUCCAACAUUUUCUCAGUGGACAAACCACCCAUUCCAGAGUGAUGAACGACACUGUCUAAAGGAAAACUGCAAGCAGUGGAAAUUUUGAAAUGGAAACAAGAAAUCUGCACCACAUUGAUCAUCAUCUGAAGGAGAAAGGAAG